GGAUGUGAUCAUACCGGCGCUAACGCACUAGAUUCCAUCAGAACUAUGAAGCUAAGCGUGCUUGAUGCGAGUAGUACUUUUUCAUGUUAACUAGUUGCAAAGAUUGUAACUU
rnacentral:rRNA from 1 species